GGAAGUAAAAGUCGUAGCAAGGUCUCCGUAGGUGAACCUGCGGAGGGAUCAUUACAGAGUUCAUGCCCUACCGGGUAGAUCUCCCACCCUAUGUUAUUAUUACUUUGUUGCUUUGGCGGGCCGUUAGGCUCCGGCCCGACUACCGGCCCCGGCUGGUAAGCGCCUGCCAGAGGACCCAAAACCCUGAAUAUUAGUGUCGUCUGAGUACUAUAUAAUAGUUAAAACUUUCAACAACGGAUCUCUUGGUUCUG
rnacentral:misc_RNA from 1 species